rnacentral:rRNA from 1 species
UCUGAAUAGGGCGUUUAGUAUUUGGUCGUAGACCCGAAACCAGGUGAUCUACCCUUGGUCAGGUUGAAGUUCAGGUAACACUGAAUGGAGGACCGAACCGACUUACGUUGAAAAGUGAGCGGAUGAACUGAGGGUAGCGGAGAAAUUCCAAUCGAACCUGGAGAUAGCUGGUUCUCUCCGAAAUAGCUUUAGGGCUAGCCUCAAGUGAUGAUUAUUGGAGGUAGAGCACUGUUUGGACGAGGGGCCCCUCUCGGGUUACCGAAUUCAGACAAACUCCGAAUGCCAAUUAAUUUAACUUGGGAGUCAGAACAUGGGUGAUAAGGUCCGUGUUCGAAAGGGAAACAGCCCAGACCACCAGCUAAGGUCCCAAAAUAUAUGUUAAGUGGAAAAGGAUGUGGCGUUGCCCAGACAACUAGGAUGUUGGCUUAGAAGCAGCCAUCAUUUAAAGAGUGCGUAAUAGCUCACUAGUCGAGUGACACUGCGCCGAAAAUGUACCGGGGCUAAACAUAUUACCGAAGCUGUGGAUUGUCCUUUGGACAAUGGUAGGAGAGCGUUCUAAGGGCGUUGAAGCAUGAUCGUAAGGACAUGUGGAGCGCUUAGAAGUGAGAAUGCCGGUGUGAGUAGCGAAAGACGGGUGAGAAUCCCGUCCACCGAUUGACUAAGGUUUCCAGAGGAAGGCUCGUCCGCUCUGGGUUAGUCGGGUCCUAAGCUGAGGCCGACAGGCGUAGGCGAUGGAUAACAGGUUGAUAUUCCUGUACCACCUAUAAUCGUUUUAAUCGAUGGGGGGACGCAGUAGGAUAGGCGAAGCGUGCGAUUGGAUUGCACGUCUAAGCAGUAAGGCUGAGUAUUAGGCA